CAGGCUGUUGAGGUAGACUGGCAGGGUCUUCAGGUGCUGGGGUAGGACCAGCUAUAGUAAGAUACACACAGAGAUGUACACAGUCAACUCAGGCUGUUGAGGUAGACUGGCAGGGUCUUCAGGUGCUGGGGUAGGACCAGCUAUAGUAAGAUACACACAGAGAUGUACACAGUCAACUCAGGCUGUUGAGGUAGACUGGCAGGGUCUUCAGGUGCUGGGGUAGGACCAGCUAUAGUAAGAUACACACAGAGAUGUACACAGUCAACUCAGGCUGUUGAGGUAGACUGGCAGGGUCUUCAGGUGCUGGGGUAGGACCAGCUAUAGUAAGAUACACACAGAGAUAUACACAGUCAACUCAGGCUGUUGAGGUAGACUGGCAGGGUCUUCAGGUGCUGGGGUAGGACCAGCUAUAGUAAGAUACACACAGAGAUGUACACAGUCAACUCAGGCUGUU